rnacentral:rRNA from 1 species
AGUCGACGGAGAUAUUCGCUGAUGAAGUACUUCGGUAAUGAAUCUUGGAUAUCUUAGUGGCGGACGGGUGAGUAACGCGUGAGCAACCUGCCUUUCAGAGGGGGAUAACGUUUGGAAACGAACGCUAAUACCGCAUGACAUUAUCUUAUCGCAUGGUAGGAUAAUCAAAGGAGCAAUCCGCUGAAAGAUGGGCUCGCGUCCGAUUAGGUAGUUGGUGGGGUAACGGCCCACCAAGCCGACGAUCGGUAGCCGGACUGAGAGGUUGGACGGCCACAUUGGGACUGAGACACGGCCCAGACUCCUACGGGAGGCAGCAGUAAGGGAUAUUGGUCAAUGGGGGAAACCCUGAACCAGCAACGCCGCGUGAGGGAAGACGGUUUUCGGAUUGUAAACCUCUGUCCUCUGUGAAGAUGAUGACGGUAGCAGAGGAGGAAGCUCCGGCUAACUACGUGCCAGCAGCCGCGGUAAUACGUAGGGAGCGAGCGUUGUCCGGAUUUACUGGGUGUAAAGGGUGCGUAGGCGGCUUGGCAAGUCAGUAGUGAAAUCCAUGGGCUUAACCCAUGAACUGCUAUUGAAACUGUCGAGCUUGAGUGAAGUAGAGGUAGGCGGAAUUCCCGGUGUAGCGGUGAAAUGCGUAGAGAUCGGGAGGAACACCAGUGGCGAAGGCGGCCUACUGGGCUUUAACUGACGCUGAGGCACGAAAGCGUGGGUAGCAAACAGGAUUAGAUACCCUGGUAGUCCACGCUGUAAACGAUGAUUACUAGGUGUGGGUGGACUGACCCCAUCCGUGCCGGAGUUAACACAAUAAGUAAUCCACCUGGGGAGUACGGCCGCAAGGCUGAAACUCAAAGGAAUUGACGGGGGCCCGCACAAGCA